CAAAAGAGAAGCCUUUUCACUGCUCAUGGGACCUGCAAGUUCAUACAGUCUGCAAAUUGAAUGUCUCUACUGCCAUAAAAGCAGAAAAUGGAAAUCCUCUAUAUUCCAAAUUUUAUAGAUCAUCUGCACAGCCAGCUGAGCCUUCCAGGAGUUGCUAAAAGGUCCCGUCCUCCAGAAAUCCGGAGCUUUCCGGCCAAACUUCAAGAAGCUGCAGGCCACCAGCGCAUGGCUUCCAUCCCUGGACCUUUCUUUCCCCCCAAGGGAUUCCCUGGAGGGAGGGGCCUCCUGAGGGCCAGGCUGUCAUUUAACCUUUUGUCGCGUCUUCAUUUUUGUUCCUAGCCCAGCAGGAACCGCCAGUUCUGCAGCCUCAUGAAUAGAACCGAGCAUUUGAUCUGAAAUUGUUUUUCAAUAGCUGUAUCUUCUUCUCUGUUAUUGCUUUACAUGGCAUAUGUUUGUACAAUAUUGAAAAUCAAUAAAAGUACAAAAAUGUUUCGUCUUCUUUUUAAA
rnacentral:lncRNA from 1 species